GUCUCCUGUGGCCUAGUGGUUAGAGCAUCCGCCUUAUAUGCGGGAGGUCGCGAGUUCGAACCCAGGCCGAGUCA